CUACGAAGUAAGUGGGAUGGACCAUACAAGGUUAUUGACACUUCAACUCAUGGAGCCAUUACCAUCCAAAAUGACAUAGGUAACACUUUUAAGGUAAAUGGUCAACGCUUGAAAACCUAUCUCGAGCCUCAAAACAACCUGGUAGAGGAACUUGAUGUGAUUGAGUUCAUAGAAUUCUCACAUUAAGCUCUCAUAAGCUCUAGAUAAUUACCUAACCCUUAAUAUGCUCCACGAGUUUUGUUGUCUAUUUGGAUUGUGCAGGAUUUGAGACUUAAGAAGAGUGAGACCAAACAUGUAGGCCACAAGAGUGAACGACUAUGUCAACAUCCAGCUUGGGGGAGACACCCCCACGUGUAUCUAGAUAAGUAUUACUUUUCUUUCUUGGUUUUAUUUACUAGUAUUUGGAAAUAAAUAAAAAAAUGCAUAACCAUGAAACCAAACAAAGUUUUUCUUUUGAGUAAUAUACAAUAGUUUUGUAUAAUCCUAUGUUUUAAAUAAAAUAAAAAGAAAGUUUGAUCCAAGUCUAGGUAAUGCACAAACAUGAUAUGAGAAGGUCUGAGCUACUAUUUAACUUGUUCCAAGUUUUGCUAGAGUUCUGGAGAUUUUAUCUUUUGAAAAUCUAAAAAUUCAAAAAAAAGAGAUCCUGUUUGACAUAAUACCUAGAGUCUUAUAAGAUAUAAAUAUUAAAACUGUGGGCACUUGCUUUGUUCAAGCCAUUGUUAAUCCUUGUAGUUUUGUUGAGAGAAUUAUCAUGCUCCAAAGAUCAAGAUCUUUUUGUUUUAAAAAUACAAAAAGAUUCACUCUUCCAAAAUAUUAUUGCGUUAGUGGCAUGGGACUAUGCAAAAAUUUAAUUCGAAAAAAAAGAGUGACAGGAGAGGUAAAAAUGGACAAGUGUCCGAAGUAGAAUUAUGGGUACAAAGAUACCCACCUGAGUGGAAAAAAAUGGACACGUGUCCGAUAGUAGAAUUAGGGGUACUUGGUGCCCACUUGAAAAAAGAGAGAGAGACUGAAAAAGAAAGAAAAAAAUGAGAGCCCAUGGUCCCUCUAAUAAGCAAUAUGCCAGUAAGAGAUGACAAACUUUUCAAAAAGGUCAAAGGUCUUGAUCUAGGAGUAUGACAUUCCUCUCCCUUGCUCCGAGCAUUGACAUAGCAAAAUGCAAAGUAAGUAUGCUACAACUUUUAAAUCUUUGCUUAUAUAUCUUUUGAGAAGAAGACAAAUGCCUCAGUUUUAUUUUGGAAACUUACAAAAAAACUACAGAACAAAGGUAAGACAGAAGAACUUGAGACAUAGUGCUUGACUUGAUCGUUCUGUUUUUCAAUCACUUAAGACCUUAUUGAUAACUUAAAAACCCUAUAGUAAGAGGCAUAAAAGCAACCCCUGCUUUCUUGUUGAUUUUAGCUUUGCUCAAGGACGAGCAAAGUUUAAGCUUGGGGGAGCUUGUUGACGGUCCUUAAUGCUCACAUUUAACCGUCAACUAAUCAUGGAAAAGGAUCCAAAUGCAACC
rnacentral:lncRNA from 1 species